CCCUUAGACACUCUAGGCGGCACGCGCGCUACAAUGGGUGGAAGACCGUGUUACUGCCUUCGAAAGAAGGGGUGAAUCACGAAUUCUUACCCGUGAAUGGGAUAGUUUGUUGCAAUUUUCGGACUUGAACUAGGAAUCCCUUGUAAGCAUGCUCAAGAAUAGCGUGUUGAAUACGUCCCUGCCGUUUGUACACACCGCCCGUCGUUUCUUCCGACUGAUACUCAUUGUGAGUUGCAAGGACGCUUCAUCGUGAAAUUGCUGCGAAUGCUUUGUAUUGGAGGAAGAAAAAGUCGUAACA
rnacentral:rRNA from 1 species